rnacentral:rRNA from 1 species
UACGUAGGGUGCAGGCGUUAAUCGGAAUUACUGGGCGUAAAGCGUGCGCAGGCGGUGAUGUAAGACAGAUGUGAAAUCCCCGGGCUCAACCUGGGAAUUGCGCUUGUGACUGCAAGGCUAGAGUGCGUCAGAGGGGGGGUAGAAUUCCACGUGUAGCAGUGAAAUGCGUAGAGAUGUGGAGGAAUACCGAUGGCGAAGGCAGCCCCCUGGGACGUGACUGACGCUCAUGCACGAAAGCGUGGGGAGCAAACAGG